UGCCAGCAGCCGCGGUAAUACGAAGGGGGCUAGCGUUGUUCGGAAUAACUGGGCGUAAAGCGCACGUAGGCGGACUGUUAAGUUAGAGGUGAAAUCCCGGGGCUCAACCCCGGAACUGCCUUUAAUACUGGCAGUCUAGAGUUCGAGAGAGGUGAGUGGAAUUCCGAGUGUAGAGGUGAAAUUCGUAGAUAUUGGGAAGAACACCAGUGGCGAAGGCGGCUAACUGGCUCGGUACUGACGCUGAGAUGCGAAAGCGUGGGGAGCAAACAGGAUUAGAUA
rnacentral:rRNA from 1 species